CCCGCCUUCCAUCGGUAGUCCCAGGCUCAAGUCUAAUUAGCAGCUCUACUCUGUUCUUCUCUAAGUUAAAGUUUAAGUCCUUGACCUUGACAACUCCGGCCUGUGAGAGUCCUCUCCGGAAGCUUUCAUUGUGCUACCCGAAUCCCUGCUCCCAUCCCUCAGUGAGUGACUUCAAGGUGGUUGUGCAGAAUCAAGAGAGCCUACUGCAGUCCAAGUGAUGCAUUGGCAAAGAGAAGAUCUGGAGGGAUAACCUGACCACAUAGCGGGAUUCUCGUGGAGAACUGCUAUGUUAGGCUCUGUUAACCCCUAAACUCUUCACUGUCCUUGGACUUCCUCUGUUCAAGUGAAGAAAGCACUUGGGAGACCUGUGACAGAAGACAUAACGCACCUGUACAUGCUGAAGACUGUGUUGCCAUUGUGCAUAAGGAGCCCCAAAUCUACCAGUCAUGACAUCAAAGAAGUUUCCAAUGUUGGUCUCAACACUGCUGAAAAUGAUGCCACUGUUCUGAUUGCUGAAGUGUGUUGCUAGAGAAGCCAUGAAUGCAAUCUAAGGAGAAAGCUGGUGAUCAGUCCAAAUUUGUCUUAAAGAAAAAAGUCCUCGUACAGUGCAAACUGUGUUUCCUUACCCGGAAUGCCAGGAGGGCCUGGAGGCCCAGGGGGCCCUUGGUAACCACGGAAUCCAUAAUCUCCAUGACAACACUUGCUGCAGUCUGGGGGCAGUCCUCCCGUUUGUGGAGACUUAAAAAUGAUGAAAAAUGAAACUUCAGGCUUGGUCACCGUCCUCCCUUUUCCCUAAAGUUUUCCAUAAAACUACUGAGGGACUAAGUAGCCUGCCCUGGUCCACGCCUUCUGUUGCCACCACUCAGAAACCAGUGAUGAGGGAUCAAGAGCUAUAUGCUGGAGAUAUCUCUUAGUUUUAAGUCUGCCAAGACCAAUCACAGACAGGUAUAAAUUAAUAUUAGCUAAGGAAACAAAUCAACUAAUACACUUGGUUGGAAAUGAAGACACUUGGAAAUCAAGCCCCACAGCCAACCCCACCUACUGCACAUCUGAGAAGUAUGUUCCUCAUCUCCUGGGAUGAUUUGCUAAUGUGAAAUACAGCUUCUGUGCCCCAGGAAUCCAGAGCUUUGCCAAUGAUGGGUUUCAUGGAUAGAGAAAGGGGGAAAGAGUUGUGUAAGAACAGAUGGAAAUACUGAGAUGCUUAAAACUGCUAGAAUAAUCACUGCACUGGGACCAGUGUCCCUGAUCAGUUCUAUGGGGCCUUAGAAAGUCACCAUUCCCAGACAUCAGUCUGAGUUGGUCCUUUCCAAGCAAAGAUACUAUUGUGUUUAACUUUCAAUAGUAAUUUUGAAAGACCUUUAACUUUUUAAAUUUUAAACAAAUUUAUUAGAUUUAUUUCUUUCUUGUAAUAUGUAACACACAUGUGACACUCAGAGGACAAACUUGUGGGUUAAGUUCAUCAGGCUUGACAACAAGCGCCUCUACCUGUUGAGCCAGCUCAGGCAAGAGAUAGCCCUGAUACUUCCAUUUCUAAAUGUCUAGUAUCUGAACACAAGGAGGUGGUGUUUCUUAGUUCCCAAGCCAAAAAGCAUGAGUGAUGCAUGUGCAAGCUGUCUGGGGUAACUCAGGGAGCACAGAGCUGCCACCAGGGCAACAGAGUCUUGGUUCUCCUAGUUGGCUGCCUCCCAGGGACCCUCCUAUGAUGUUUCACCACUUGUUCUUUCAUCUGACUUUGUCUUUCAAGGUGGAGUUCAGAGGAACAAUGAUAAUGCAGCAAGGAGUCAAGGAAAGAGGGAGAGAGAG